rnacentral:rRNA from 1 species
CCUAGUACGGCGAGUGAAGCGGGAAGAGCUCAAAUUUGAAAUCUGGUAGCCUUCGGUUGCCCGAGUUGUAAUCUAGAGAAGUGUUUUCCGCGUUGGCCCAUGUACAAGUCCCUUGGAACAGGGCGUCAUAGAGGGUGAGAAUCCCGUCCUUGACAUGGACCCCCAAUGCUUUGUGAUACACUUUCAACGAGUCGAGUUGUUUGGGAAUGCAGCUCAAAAUGGGUGGUGAAUUCCAUCUAAAGCUAAAUAUUGGCGAGAGACCGAUAGCGAACAAGUACCGUGAGGGAAAGAUGAAAAGCACUUUGGAAAGAGAGUUAAACAGUACGUGAAAUUGUUGAAAGGGAAACGAUUGAAGUCAGUCAUGCUCUUUGGAUUAAGCCGUUCUGCGGUGUAUUUCAUUGAGCGGGGUCAACAUCAGUUUUGAUCGCUGGAAAAGGGCAGGAGGAAGGUAGCACUCUCGGGUGAACUUAUAGCCUCUUGUCGUAUACAGUGAUUGGGACUGAGGAACGCAGCAUGCCUUUUGGCCGGGAUUCGUCCACGUACAUGCUUAGGAUGUUGACAUAAUGGCUUUAAACGACCCGUCUUGAAACACGGGACCAC